rnacentral:rRNA from 1 species
CCUACGGGAGGCAGCAGUGGGGAAUAUUGCGCAAUGGGCGAAAGCCUGACGCAGCGACGCCGCGUGAGGGAUGAAGGUCUUCGGAUCGUAAACCUCUGUCAGCAGGGAAGAACGGUCACUGUGCUAAUCAGCAGUGAAUUGACGGUACCUGCAAAGGAAGCACCGGCUAACUCCGUGCCAGCAGCCGCGGUAAUACGGAGGGUGCGAGCGUGAAUCGGAAUUACUGGGCGUAAAGCGCUCGUAGGCGGUAUGUCAAGUCAAGGGUGAAAUCCCCGCGCUCAACGUGGGAACUGCAUUUGAAACUGGCAAACUGGAGUGUAGGAGAGGAGAGAGGAAUUCGAGGUGUAGGGGUGAAAUGCGUAGAUAUCUGGAGGAACAUCAGUGGCGAAGGCGACUAUCUGGCACAUAACUGACGCUGAGGAGCGAAAGCGUGGGUAGCAAACAGGAUGAGAUACCCCGGUAGUC